GAUGAACGCUGGCGGCGUGCCUAAUACAUGCAAGUCGAGCGAACAGGCGAGGAGCUUGCUCCUCUGACGUUAGCGGCGGACGGGUGAGUAACACGUGGAUAACCUACCUAUAAGACUGGGAUAACUUCGGGAAACCGGAGCUAAUACCGGAUAAUAUAUUGAACCGCAUGGUUCAAUAGUGAAAGACGGUUUUGCUGUCACUUAUAGAUGGAUCCGCGCCGCAUUAGCUAGUUGGUAAGGUAACGGCUUACCAAGGCAACGAUGCGUAGCCGACCUGAGAGAGGGAUCGGCCACACUGGAACUGGGACACGGACCAGACUCCUACGGGAGGCAGCAGUAGGGUAUCUUCCGCAGUGGGCGAAAGCCUGACGGAGCAGCGCCGCGUGAGUGAUGAAGGUCUUCGGAUCGUAAAACUCUGUUAUUAGGGAAGAACAAAUGUGUAAGUAACUAUGCACGUCUUGACGGUACCUAAUCAGAAAGCCACGGCUAACAACGUG
rnacentral:rRNA from 1 species